UAGGGAAUAUUAGAAAUGGACGAAAGUCUGAUCUAGCAACACCGCGUGUGCGAUGAAGGCCUUCGGGUUGUAAAGCACUUUUUGGAAGGAUUAGGAAGGAAUGUACUUCCAGAAUAAGUCUCGGCUAACUACGUGCCAGCAGCCGCGGUAACACGUAGGAGGCGAACGUUAUCCGGAUUUACUGGGCGUAAAGCGCGUGUAGGUGGUUCUGUAAGUAGGGCGUGAAAGCUCCUGGCUCAACUAGGAGAGGCCGUUCUAAACUGCAGAGCUAGAGGAUGGUAGAGGGAGGUGGAAUUCCGGGUGUAGCGGUGGAAUGCGCAGAUAUCCGGAGGAACACCAGUGGCGAGAGCGGCCUCCUGGACCAUUCCUGACACUCAGACGCGAAAGCUAGGGUAGCAAACGG
rnacentral:rRNA from 1 species